rnacentral:lncRNA from 1 species
CUUGAGUGAAACUGUGAAACCAGUGGAACUACAGGAAACUACAAAUCAAUUUAUCAAGGAUUUUAUUUCUAUUUAUUUAUUUUCUGUAUAUUAUUGUAUAGUAUUGUUAAUAAAGAGUCAUAGUUUGAUUUGUGCUCGGUUAAUUUCAGUGUUCGAUAGUAAAAGUGCAAAAGUGUUUUUGUUUUUCGUUCAAAAUGAAGCGCUGUUGCGUGCCUAAGUGUAAAACAGCUAUUAAUUUACGUGCUGUACCAUAUACUGAUGUUACUAGAUGGAAGAAGAAGGACUUGAUCAUUGGAAAUCAGCAUGCUCAAUGGGCUUUCAUUGAACGGGCUUAUGCUACUGAUGGUGCAGGAGGACGUGCCAGAACCAUAGAUUUAAUGAUAAACAUAUAAACCCAAGUUCCUACGAUAAGAUGAAGGUCAAUUAUUAUGCUUCGGACGUCUUCAGUUACAGAGGUACACUGUACACUGCCUUUUACUUGGGAAAAUGAAGUCAUACGAAGAUCUUAGUUAUAGUGCUCCACAAUUAUGUUAACAUAACUCUCUUACAUACUUAUAACAUAAGCCUCUCUGGUUCAGUGGUUACCCUAUGUGGUCACGAGGUCCGGGGUUAUAUAAGAUACUGAGCUUUUCAUCUAAGAAAUUUUGACUUAUAAUUCUCAGUCCUUAGUUGGGAAUUUAGUGGUGUUACACCCUGUGCCUCAGAGUGCAUGUUAACCUGUCCCGGACAAGGCCACGUCCCGUAAAUAAUGGAUAAAACGCAAAUGGUAGAUACGCCACCUAAUUCUACAAUUCUACGUUUUAUACUAAUUUACUACCCUCUAUAAGUGUACAAGUUUUUAAAAUAAUGGUUUUUUCGAUUCAAAAUUAGAUUUCAUCAUUUUUUACCGGACAAUGUGUUUUAAAUCGGGUCCUAAUGAAAGAAAAAUAAUUAUUACACAAAAAAUAGUCAAAUUAGUUAUAGAUAAUAAGGUGGUGUAUCUAUCAUAUUAGUCUGAUCUAUAUGUGCUCUUUA